GAUGAACGAUGGCGGCGUGCCUAAUACAUGCAAGUCGAGCGAAUGGAUUAAGAGCUUGCUCUUAUGAAGUUAGCGGCGGACGGGUGAGUAACACGUGGGUAACCUGCCCAUAAGGCUGGGAUAACGACGGGAAACCGGUGCUAAUACGGGAUAACAUUUUGAACCGCAUGGUUCGAAAUGGAUAGGCGGCUUCGGCUGUUACUUAUGGAGGGACCAGAGUCGCAUUAGCCAGUUGGUGAGGUAACGGCUCACCAAGGCAACGAUGCGUAGCCGACCUGAGAGGGUGAUCGGCCACACUGGGACUGAGACACGGCCCAGACUCCUACGGGAGGCAGCAGUAGGGAAUCUUCCGCAAUGGACGAAAGUCUGACGGAGCAACGCCGCGUGAGUGAUGAAGGCUUUCGGGUCGUAAAACUCUGUUGUUAGGGAAGAACAAGUGCUAGUUGAAUAAGCUGGCACCUUGACGGUACCUAACCAGAAAGCCACGGCUAACUACGUGCCAGCCGCCGCCGUAA
rnacentral:rRNA from 1 species